AGCAGUCGCCACGGUAAUACGAAGGGUGCAAGCGUUAAUCGGAAUUACUGGGCGUAAAGCGUGCGUAGGCGGUUCGUUAAGUCUGUUGUGAAAGCCCCGGGCUCAACCUGGGAAUGGCAAUGGAUACUGGCGAGCUAGAGUGUGUCAGAGGAUGGUGGAAUUCCCGGUGUAGCGGUGAAAUGCGUAGAGAUCGGGAGGAACAUCAGUGGCGAAGGCGGCCAUCUGGGACAACACUGACGCUGAGGCACGAAAGCGUGGGGAGCAAACAGGAUUAGAUACCCGCGUAGUCCCUGUCUCUUAUAC
rnacentral:rRNA from 1 species